CCAGACUUGACAUGCAGAAGACAGCUUUAGAGAUAGAGUGUUCCUUAGGGACUUCUGCACAGGUGCUGCAUGGCUGUCGUCAGCUCGUGCCGUGAGGUGUUGGGUUAAGUCCCGCAACGAGCGCAACCCUUAUCAUUAGUUGCCAACACGUAAUGGUGGGAACUCUAAUGAGACUGCCUGGGUUAACCAGGAGGAAGGUGAGGAUGACGUCAAGUCCGCAUGGCCCUUAUGUCUGGGGCUACACACGUGCUACAAUGGUCGGUACAGAAGGCAGCGAAGCCGUGAGGUGAAGCAAAUCCCAAAAAGCCGAUCCCAGUUCAGAUUGUAGUCUGCAA
rnacentral:rRNA from 1 species